GAGCCUCCUGAUGCAUGGUCAGAAGGAUAUACAUCUUUCCACACCAAUAGACCUUGUUUUCCGAUGUAGCAUUAUUUUUCAUAGUUGGCGAAUAUACAGUUAUGGAUUCAUAACAGCAAGGUAUCUAAUUAUCCUCUACGGUUAGAUAUUUAAGUAGUUUAUGCCAAUGUUUCCAACAGAUCAUCUUGUAUUUGUCAUAGUGUCAAGCACAGUUCGAGGGUCAGACUUACCUUCUCACUCUACCAGACCUUCAUAGCUUAUCGAUUUGUCAAAUUUCUGUGGCAUGUUUCAGCCUUGGAGGACAGUCACUUAAGUACAGUUAUAGUUCCUCUUUCUAUCCUGGCUUGUGGCCGGGCUGUG
rnacentral:lncRNA from 10 species